CCUACGUGGAGCAGCAGUGGGGAAUAUUGCACAAUGGGGGAAACCCUGAUGCAGCGACGCCGCGUGAGUGAAGAAGUAUUUCGGUAUGUAAAGCUCUAUCAGCCGGGAAGAAAAUGACGGUCCCUGAUUAAGAAGCCCCGGCUAACUACGUGCCAGCAGCCGCGGUAAUACGUAGGGGGCAAGCGUUAUCCGGAUUUACUGGGUGUAAAGGGAGCGUAGGCGGUGAGGCAAGUCAGAAUUGAAAGCCCGGGGCUCAACUCCGGGACUGCGUUUGAAACUGGGUGACUGGAGUGCAGGAGAGGUAAGCGGAAUUCCUGGUGUAGCGGUGAAAUGCGUAGAGAUCAGGAGGAACACCAGUGGCGAAGGCGGCUUACUGGACUGUAACUGACGUUGAGGAUCGAAAGCGUGGGGAGCAAACAGGAUUAGAUACCCUUGUAGUC
rnacentral:rRNA from 1 species